rfam:Triticum aestivum genome assembly, contig: Triticum_aestivum_CS42_TGACv1_scaffold_321020_4BL
AAUAGUCAAAUAUAACACUGGGACCGAGGGUCAAAUUAGUAAUUUUUCUUACAUCCCCUAGCCCAGGUAUCAUAUACACCGUA